AGCUUUGCGCAGUGGCAGUAUCGUAGCCAAUGAGGUUUAUCCGAGGCGCGAUUAUUGUUAAUUGAAAACUUUUCCCAGCUCCUGUGUGGCUCCUGCGUAUAUGAGCAACUCCCUUAACUGGGCUGCCUCUGGAAUUAAUUAAUAAUUCAUAAAUGUA
rnacentral:snRNA from 1 species